rnacentral:rRNA from 1 species
UACGAGGGGAGCUAGCGUUGUUCGAAAUUACUGGGCGUAAAGGGCGUGUAGGCGGUACCAUAAGUCAGAUGUGAAAGCCCUAGGCUUAACCUAGGAGGUGCAUUUGAUACUGUGGAACUAGAGAUCUAGAGAGGAAAGUGGAAUUACGAGUGUAGAGGUGAAAUUCGUAGAUAUUCGUAAGAACACCAGUGGCGAAGGCGACUUUCUGGCUAGAUACUGACGCUAAGGCGCGAAAGCGUGGGGAGCAAACAGGAUUAGAUACCCUGGUAGUCCACGCUGUAAACGAUGAGUGCUAGAUGUUGGUGAAGGAAUUCAUCAGUGUCGCAGCUAACGCAUUAAGCACUCCGCCUGGGGAGUACGGUCGCAAGAUUAAA